rnacentral:snRNA from 1 species
AAGGGGAAUCCGACUGUU